rnacentral:rRNA from 1 species
AUGAACGCUUGCGGCGUGCCUCAUACAUGCAAGUCGAGCGAACAGACGAGGAGCUUGCUCCUCUGACGUUAGCGGCGGACGGGUGAGUAACACGUGGAUAACCUACCUAUAAGACUGGGAUAACUUCGGGAAACCGGAGCUAAUACCGGAUAAUAUAUUGAACCGCAUGGUUCAAUAGUGAAAGACGGUUUUGCUGUCACUUAUAGAUGGAUCCGCGCCGCAUUAGCUAGUUGGUAAGGUAACGGCUUACCAAGGCAACGAUGCGUAGCCGACCUGAGAGGGUGAUCGGCCACACUGGAACUGAGACACGGUCCAGACUCCUACGUGAGGCAGCAGUAGGGAAUCUUCCGCAAUGGGCGAAAGCCUGACGGAGCAACGCCGCGUGAGUGAUGAAGGUCUUCGGAUCGUAAAACUCUGUUAUUAGGGAAGAACAAAUGUGUAAGUAACUAUGCACGUCUUGACGGUACCUAAUCAGAAAGCCACGGCUAACUACGUG